rnacentral:pre_miRNA from 1 species
AAAUUACUCCCUCCGUUCCGAAUUACUUGUCUUAGAUUUAUCUAGAUACGGAUGUAUCUAGCACUAAAAUGAGUCUAGAUGCAUCCGUAUCUAGACAAAUCCAAGACAAGUAAUUCGGAACGGAGGGAGUACAAA